UCUUCCCCUCCAAUCUGCGGAACCCGACGCCGACCGAGAAGGGAAAUCUCCGAGAAAUUGUUGAAGAAUCGAAGACCGAUUGCUGUAAAAUAUCUCUACAUACUGUUAUAAGUUAAUCACAAGUAUGAUGUGGUGAAAUAAUGUAUCGCAGAUGCAUUCUGUAAUUAUGAAGCCAGUACUUACCAAAUUUGAUUGUUUUUUUUUGUCUGUGAUAACGUUUUAGGUUUCCGAUUGGAGCAUAUGGAUUACAAUCAUUCAAAAUUCUACUACUAUUUAAUUUCUUCUACAUAAUUAUUAGAUUUUUGUUUGUUUGUUUGUGAAUGGGAAGGGGAGGCAGUUGUUGAUGCUCACAAUUGGUGAAAGGCGUAUUUUCUGCAGUACAAGUGUUAGUGAAAACCAAUAAAAAUUUGGGACUCAGGCAUUUGCUGGAACUUGCUGCUGCAGUUCAGCCCAUAAAAGUUGAAUAAAAAACAAUAGAUGAUGUGCAACAGUUUGUAACAAGGAGACUUGAACAACUUCUGAUUGACCAAGGAAUAAUUCCAGAUGUAGUUCGCUCUGUUCUUGCAAAGCGUGGCCAUUUGCCUUGUCUGGCAGCCAGAUCCGCGUAUAAACUUUGAAUACGAGAUGAACUUUUUCCAAGAAUUGUGGCGUGAAAUGCAUCAAGAACUACGUGAGUAAAAAUGGGAGAUGGACGAAAUGAUGAAGGAGUUUAUGACGUCCAAGCAACCCCAACAAUCAAGUCACACUCCUGAUUAUGAUGAUGAGUUGAUAUAUCUCAUGAGCUCACUUGAAAACUCGACACUUUAUGUUAUUAUUUGCUUCGUAUAUUGGUUGUAUUUUGACUAAUAUUUUUGAGGUUAAUCAAUGAUAAUUGUCAU